GUGUUUUUUUAAACUAAAAUUAGGUACGUGCGUAUCUGGCUUUUUACGGCACCGAUUUCAAAGUUAAAAACUGGAACCUUUUUUUUCACAGCGUGCUCGAAGUCGGUGUGUGCAUCGUGGGACCUAAAAAGGAAACAUUUCUACUUGAUGGUAAAGCUAAAAGUUAGUUAACUUGUAGUUUUACACUACCAGCUCAUUUAAAUAUUGGUUGUAGCAAUGGACGCCCACUGCAUAUAUUGGCAACUAACAAGGAUUCAUAUAAAGUAACCGUAGAAGUAAUCAAUAAGUAUUUUAACAUCAAAGUUUGUACUAAUUAGAUUCUGCAACUAGUUAAAACAUCAAAAAACUUUGUAAACCAUUUUUCACACGAUUCAAAACAAUUUUUUGACAUCUGCAACAUGCUCUGUGCAUACCAAAUAAUAACAUCUGCUAUGGCACAAACAUCGCAAUUAAUUGCAACCUCAAUUCACAUUGCUAUAUGUUCUUCAUUUCCCUUUCAAUAAAUCAGUGUUUUAUCUGUAUCAAACAGUGGUCACUUAUCUCUUUUAUCUGGUCCUGCUAUAGAAACCUCUUCUCAUGAACCACUAUCCAGUUAGAGAGCUGACUAGUUAAGUCCCAGAAAAAGGUUAUGAGAAAGAGAUUUAAUUUUUUUGUUUGAAACAACAGUUAACAUUCAACGAAACCAAGUUUUCUUAUCAAAAGGCAAUUUUAUACCAACAACUUGCUGACAAAAAUUAUGCAAUUCUUGUACUGCAAAAUGAUAUUGAUACUGAUUUUACAGGAAGAGUUGGAGGAAAUUCAGCAAGUAACACAAAACACCAAAACUCAAAAACACUACUCAGCAGAUAUUAGAACACUUAUAUAAGACAUGCUUGUGUGUUAAGUUCCUGGUUUCAUUCACUACACAAUUCAUUUUCUACACAAUUCUGCAAUACAAACUUCGCUACAAGGAUGCAAAAGUGAUCCAAAGGGUUUUGGGUUCUUUUUGGACCAACACGAGUUGCCCAGAAGAUUGCUACCACGCUAUAGAGGGAACAGAAUAUAUAUGCUUUUUCACACAUGUGGUACUUUGAUCUAUAAUUAUUCCAUAUUCAAGAUAUUUUUGUGUUCUGGCUUGACAUUAUGUGAAUGUCUGCAAAAUGGUUUGUUUCAAGACUUUACAUCUGAAACAGGAAAUCAUUCUCCUCUUCUCUAUUUUGUAAUGGGUUUUUCAGUUAUUGUGUUAAAUAUCUAAUGUAUUUUUAUUUAUCUGUUAUUGCAAGGUUUUAACUAAUAGCAUGCUAAAAGAUUGCAAUUUGCUACUGUCUUAAAGUCCUCAAAAUUAUAUUAAAUAAUUCAGUUACACAACGUGAUGAGUACUACACGCUUGCUUUGAUGUUUGUUGAUCUUCUUCAUUUCAAUAUUAAAUCGAUAUCAUUAUAUGUGGUUUCCAUUGCAUACUAAAGGUUCGACUCUUUCUAUGGAUGUCACAGUUUUAUUUACUUCAAAAACUAGGCUUUUUUCAAAGCCACAACUCUGAUAAAAACAUAACUAAGCAAAUAAAAUAACUAUUAUAGUGUAAAUUUAUUG
rnacentral:lncRNA from 1 species